UAGGGAAUCUUCCGCAAUGGACGAAAGUCUGACGGAGCAACGCCGCGUGAGUGAAGAAGGAUUUCGGUUCGUAAAACUCUGUUGUUAGGGAAGAAAAAAUGUAUAGUAACUAUAUACAAAAGAGACGGUACCUAACCAGAAAGCCACGGCUAACUACGUGCCAGCAGCCGCGGUAAUACGUAGGUGGCAAGCGUUGUCCGGAAUUAUUGGGCGUAAAGCGCGCGCAGGUGGUUUAGAAAGUCUGAUGUGAAAGCCCACGGCUCAACCGUGGAGGGUCAUUGGAAACUAAUAAACUUGAGUGCAGGAGAGGAAAGUGGAAUUCCUCGUGUAGCGGUGAAAUGCGUAGAGAUUAGGAGGAACACCGGUGGCGAAAGCGGCUUUUUGGCCUGCAACUGACACUGAGGCGCGAAAGCGUGGGGAGCAAACAGG
rnacentral:rRNA from 1 species